UACGUAGGGUGCAAGCGUUAAUCGGAAUUACUGGGCGUAAAGCGUGCGCAGGCGGUGAUGUAAGACAGUUGUGAAAUCCCCGGGCUCAACCUGGGAACUGCAUCUGUGACUGCAUCGCUGGAGUGCGGCAGAGGGGGAUGGAAUUCCGCGUGUAGCAGUGAAAUGCGUAGAGAUGUGGAGGAACACCGAUGGCGAAGGCAGCCCCCUGGGCUAACACUGACGCUCAUGCACGAAAGCGUGGGGAGCAAACAGG
rnacentral:rRNA from 1 species